rnacentral:rRNA from 1 species
GAUGAACGCUGGCGGCGUGCCUAAUACAUGCAAGUCGAGCGAACAGAUGAGGAGCUUGCUCCUCUGACGUUAGCGGCGGACGGGUGAGUAACACGUGGAUAACCUACCUAUAAGACUGGGAUAACUUCGGGAAACCGGAGCUAAUACCGGAUAAUAUAUUGAACCGCAUGGUUCAAUAGUGAAAGACGGUUUUGCUGUCACUUAUAGAUGGAUCCGCGCCGCAUUAGCUAGUUGGUAAGGUAACGGCUUACCAAGGCGACGAUGCGUAGCCGACCUGAGAGGGUGAUCGGCCACACUGGAACUGAGACACGGUCCAGACUCCUACGGGAGGCAGCAGUAGGGAAUCUUCCGCAAUGGGCGAAAGCCUGACGGAGCAACGCCGCGUGAGUGAUGAAGGUCUUCGGAUCGUAAAACUCUGUUAUUAGGGAAGAACAAAUGUCUAAGUAACUAUGCACGUCUUGACGGUACCUAAUCAGAAAGCCACGGCUAACUACGUG